rnacentral:rRNA from 1 species
UGAACGCUAGCGGCAGGCCUAAUACAUGCAAGUCGAACGGUGUCUUCGGACAUAGUGGCGCACGGGUGCGUAACACGUAUGCAACCUACCUUACAUUGGGGGACAGCCUUUCGAAAGGGAGAUUAAUACCGCAUAAGACAGUAGCUGGGCAUCCAGCAGCUGUUAAAGAUUUAUCGAUGUAAGCUGGGCAUGCGUCCAAUUAGCUAGUUGGUGAGGUAACGGCUCACCAAGGCAAUGAUUGGUAGGGGAACUGAGAGGUCAAUCCCCCACACUGGCACUGAGAUACGGGCCAGACUCCUACGGGAGGCAGCAGUAAGGAAUAUUGGUCAAUGGAGGGAACUCUGAACCAGCCAUGCCGCGUGCAGGAUGACUGCCCUAUGGGUUGUAAACUGCUUUGUCAGGGAAUAAACCUUUCCACGUGCGGAAGCUGAAUGUACCUGAAGAAUAAGGAUCGGCUAACUCCGUGCCAGCAG